AUGAACGCUGGCGGCGUGCCUAACACAUGCAAGUCGAGCGGAGGUGUGGAGUAGUUUACUAUGAAGCAUCUUAGCGGCGGACGGGUGAGUAACGCGUGGGCAACCUGCCCUAUGCAGGGGGAUAACAUAUCGAAAGGUGUGCUAAAACCGCAUAAAGCUUAAGAAUCGCAUGAUUUUUAGGCCAAAGAUUUAUCGGCAUAGGAUGGGCCCGCGUCUGAUUAGCUAGUUGGUGAGGUAACGGCUCACCAAGGCGACGAUCAGUAGCCG
rnacentral:rRNA from 1 species